AUUGAACGCUGGCGGCAUGCUUUACACAUGCAAGUCGAACGGUAACAGGCCGCAAGGUGCUGACGAGUGGCGCACGGGUGAGUAAUGCAUCGGAACGUGCCCAGUCGUGGGGGAUAACUACUCGGAAGAGUAGCUAAUACCGCAUACGAUCUAUGGAUGAAAGCGGGGGACCGUAAGGCCUCGCGCGAUUGGAGCGGCCGAUGUCAGAUUAGGUAGUUGGUGGGGUAAAGGCUCACCAAGCCAACGAUCUGUAGCUGGUCUGAGAGGACGACCAGCCACACUGGGACUGAGACACGGCCCAGACUCCUACGGGAGGCAGCAGUGGGGAAUGUUGGACAAUGGGCGCAAGCCUGAUCCAGCAAUGCCGCGUGCAGGAAGAAGGCCUUCGGGUUGUAAACUGCUUUUGUACGGAACGAAACGGCUCUGGUUAAUACCCGGGGAUAAUGACGGUACCGUAAGAAUAAGCACCGGCUAACUACGUG
rnacentral:rRNA from 1 species